ensembl:misc_RNA Metazoa_SRP Metazoan signal recognition particle RNA
GCCGGGUGUGGUGGUGCACGCCUGUAAUCCCAGCUACUCGGGAGGCUGAGGCAGGAGAAUCGCUCGAACCUAAGAGGCGGGGGUUGCAGUGAGCUGAGAUUGUGCCACUGUACUCCAGCCUAGGGAACAGAGUGAGACUCUGUCUCAU